rnacentral:rRNA from 1 species
CUUGGAAGUCGAAACACAGCGUGGUGGCAUGCACUGGUCGUUCAGCCUCGUGUCGUUGAGAUGUUGGGUGUAAGUACUCCCAACGAAGAGCAAACCCUGUCUUUUUUUUGUUCACCAUGUAAUGUUGGGAACUCUAAGGAGGCCGCCCGUGACCAACCGGGGGAAAGUGGGGAUGAAGUCAAGUCAUCAUGGGCCUUUCGGCCCGGACUACACACGUACUACAAUGGUAAGGACAGAGGGCUGCAAACCGGCGACGGUAAGCCAAUCCCAGAAACCCUAUUUCAGUUCGGAUUGGAGUCUGCAACUUGACUCCAUGAAGUCGGAAUCGCUAGUAAUCGCAGAUCAGCAUUGCUGCGGUGAAUACGUUCCCGGGCCUUGUACACACCGCCCGUCACA